UACAGGGGAUACAAGCGUUACUCGGAAUCACUGGGCGUAAAGCGUCUGUAGGUGCCUGAAAAAGUCUGUGGUAAAAGUCCGGGGCUCAACCCCGGGAUCGUCAUGGAAACUUUUCAGGUUGAGCAGUGGAGAGGCAUCUGGAAUGCCGCAUGUAGGAGUAAAAUCCGUAGAUAUGCGGUAGAACGCCAAAAGCGAAGGCAGGAUGCUAGCCACUCGCUGACACUGAGAGACGAAAGCGUGGGGAGCGAAGGGG
rnacentral:misc_RNA from 1 species